rnacentral:rRNA from 1 species
UACGGAGGGGGCGAGCGUUAUUCGGAAUUAUUGGGCGUAAAGGGCGCGUAGGCGGCCCGGUAAGUCAAAGGUGAAAUCCCUCGGCUCAACUGAGGAACUGCCUUUGAAACUGUCGGGCUUGAGGCCGGGAGGGGGUAGUGGAAUUCCCAGUGUAGCGGUGAAAUGCGUAGAUAUUGGGAGGAACACCGGUGGCGAAGGCGGCUACCUGGACCGGUUCUGACGCUGAUGCGCGAAAGCGUGGGUAGCAAACAGG